rnacentral:rRNA from 1 species
UUAAGUUAUUAAGGGCGCACGGUGGAUGCCUUGGCACUAGAAGCCGAUGAAGGACGUUACUAACGACGAUAUGCUUUGGGGAGCUGUAAGUAAGCUUUGAUCCAGAGAUUUCCGAAUGGGGAAACCCAGCAUGAGUUAUGUCAUGUUAUCGAUAUGUGAAUACAUAGCAUAUCAGAAGGCACACCCGGAGAACUGAAACAUCUUAGUACCCGGAGGAAGAGAAAGAAAAUUCGAUUCCCUUAGUAGCGGCGAGCGAAACGGGAAGAGCCCAAACCAACAAGCUUGCUUGUUGGGGUUGUAGGACACUCUAUACGGAGUUACAAAGGACGACAUUAGACGAAUCAUCUGGAAAGAUGAAUCAAAGAAGGUAAUAAUCCUGUAGUCGAAAAUGUUGUCUCUCUUGAGUGGAUCCUGAGUACGACGGAGCACGUGAAAUUCCGUCGGAAUCUGGGAGGACCAUCUCCUAAGGCUAAAUACUCUCUAGUGACCGAUAGUGAACCAGUACCGUGAGGGAAAGGUGAAAAGCACCCCGGAAGGGGAGUGAAAUAGAACCUGAAACCGUGUGCUUACAAGUAGUCAGAGCCCGUUAAUGGGUGAUGGCGUGCCUUUUGUAGAAUGAACCGGCGAGUUACGAUUUGAUGCAAGGUUAAGCAGUAAAUGUGGAGCCGUAGCGAAAGCGAGUCUGAAUAGGGCGUUUAGUAUUUGGUCGUAGACCCGAAACCAGGUGAUCUACCCUUGGUCAGGUUGAAGUUCAGGUAACACUGAAUGGAGGACCGAACCGACUUACGUUGAAAAGUGAGCGGAUGAACUGAGGGUAGCGGAGAAAUUCCAAUCGAACCUGGAGAUAGCUGGUUCUCUCCGAAAUAGCUUUAGGGCUAGCCUCAAGUGAUGAUUAUUGGAGGUAGAGCACUGUUUGGACGAGGGGCCCCUCUCGGGUUACCGAAUUCAGACAAACUCCGAAUGCCAAUUAAUUUAACUUGGGAGUCAGAACAUGGGUGAUAAGGUCCGUGUUCGAAAGGGAAACAGCCCAGACCACCAGCUAAGGUCCCAAAAUAUAUGUUAAGUGGAAAAGGAUGUGGCGUUGCCCAGACAACUAGGAUGUUGGCUUAGAAGCAGCCAUCAUUUAAAGAGUGCGUAAUAGCUCACUAGUCGAGUGACACUGCGCCGAAAAUGUACCGGGGCUAAACAUAUUACCGAAGCUGUGGAUUGUCCUUUGGACAAUGGUAGGAGAGCGUUCUAAGGGCGUUGAAGCAUGAUCGUAAGGACAUGUGGAGCGCUUAGAAGUGAGAAUGCCGGUGUGAGUAGCGAAAGACGGGUGAGAAUCCCGUCCACCGAUUGACUAAGGUUUCCAGAGGAAGGCUCGUCCGCUCUGGGUUAGUCGGGUCCUAAGCUGAGGCCGACAGGCGUAGGCGAUGGAUAACAGGUUGAUAUUCCUGUACCACCUAUAAUCGUUUUAAUCGAUGGGGGGGACGCAGUAGGAUAGGCGAAGCGUGCGAUUGGAUUGCACGUCUAAGCAGUAAGGCUGAGUAUUAGGCAAAUCCGGUACUCAUUAAGGCUGAGCUGUGAUGGGGAGAAGACAUUGUGUCUUCGAGUCGUUGAUUUCACACUGCCGAGAAAAGCCUCUAGAUAGAAAAUAGGUGCCCGUACCGCAAACCGACACAGGUAGUCAAGAUGAGAAUUCUAAGGUGAGCGAGCGAACUCUCGUUAAGGAACUCGGCAAAAUGACCCCGUAACUUCGGGAGAAGGGGUGCUCUUUAGGGUUAACGCCCAGAAGAGCCGCAGUGAAUAGGCCCAAGCGACUGUUUAUCAAAAACACAGGUCUCUGCUAAACCGUAAGGUGAUGUAUAGGGGCUGACGCCUGCCCGGUGCUGGAAGGUUAAGAGGAGUGGUUAGCUUCUGCGAAGCUACGAAUCGAAGCCCCAGUAAACGGCGGCCGUAACUAUAACGGUCCUAAGGUAGCGAAAUUCCUUGUCGGGUAAGUUCCGACCCGCACGAAAGGCGUAACGAUUUGGGCACUGUCUCAACGAGAGACUCGGUGAAAUCAUAGUACCUGUGAAGAUGCAGGUUACCCGCGACAGGACGGAAAGACCCCGUGGAGCUUUACUGUAGCCUGAUAUUGAAAUUCGGCACAGCUUGUACAGGAUAGGUAGGAGCCUUUGAAACG